UACGGCCGCAAGGUUAAAACUCAAAUGAAUUGACGGGGGCCCGCACAAGCGGUGGAGCAUGUGGUUUAAUUCGAUGCAACGCGAAGAACCUUACCUGGUCUUGACAUCCACAGAACUUUCCAGAGAUGGAUUGGUGCCUUCGGGAACUGUGAGACAGGUGCUGCAUGGCUGUCGUCAGCUCGUGUUGUGAAAUGUUGGGUUAAGUCCCGCAACGAGCGCAACCCUUAUCCUUUGUUGCCAGCGAUUAGGUCGGGAACUCAAAGGAGACUGCCAGUGAUAAACUGGAGGAAGGUGGGGAUGACGUCAAGUCAUCAUGGCCCUUACGACCAGGGCUACACACGUGCUACAAUGGCGCAUACAAAGAGAAGCGACCUCGCGAGAGCAAGCGGACCUCAUAAAGUGCGUCGUAGUCCGGAUUGGAGUCUGCAACUCGACUCCAUGAAGUCGGAAUCGCUAGUAAUCGUGGAUCAGAAUGCCACGGUGAAUACGUUCCCGGGCCUUGUACACACCGCCCGUCACACCAUGGGAGUGGGUUGCAAAAGAAGUAGGUAGCUUAACCUUCGGGAGGGCGCUUACCACUUUGUGAUUCAUGACUGGGGUGAAGUCGUAACAAGGUAACCGUAGGGGAACCUGCGGUUGGAUCACCUCCUUA
rnacentral:rRNA from 1 species